GAUGAACGCUGGCGGCGUGCUUAACACAUGCAAGUCGAACGAAGCGCUUUUAUUUGAUUUCUUCGGAAUGAAGAUUUUAGUGACUGAGUGGCGGACGGGUGAGUAACGCGUGGGUAACCUGCCUCAUACAGGGGGAUAACAGUUAGAAAUGACUGCUAAUACCGCAUAAGACCACAGUACCGCAUGGUACAGGGGUAAAAACUCCGGUGGUAUGAGAUGGACCCGCGUCUGAUUAGGUAGUUGGUGGGGUAACGGCCUACCAAGCCGACGAUCAGUAGCCGACCUGAGAGGGUGACCGGCCACAUUGGGACUGAGACACGGCCCAAACUCCUACGGGAGGCAGCAGUGGGGAAUAUUGCACAAUGGGGGAAACCCUGAUGCAGCGACGCCGCGUGAGCGAUGAAGUAUUUCGGUAUGUAAAGCUCUAUCAGCAGGGAAGAAAAUGACGGUACCUGACUAAGAAGCACCGGCUAAAUACGUGCCAGCAGCCGCCGCAG
rnacentral:rRNA from 1 species